rnacentral:rRNA from 1 species
CGUCAGCUCGUGUCGUGAGAUGUUCGUUAGUCCGCUAACGAGCGCAACCCUCGUCGUAUGUUAUAUGUGUCAUACGAGACUGCCGGUAAAAAGCCGGAGGAAGGUGAGGAUGAUGUCAAGUCAGCAUGACCUUUAUAUCCAGGGCUACACACACGCUACAAUGGUCUGUACAAUGGGUAGCCAAGCCGCGAGGCGGAGCCAAUCCUGAAAGCAGGCCUCAGUUCAGAUUGCAGUCUGCAACUCGACUGCAUGAAGCCGGAGUUGCUAGUAACCGCAGGUCAGCAAUACUGCGGUGAAUACGUUCCCGGGUCUU